rnacentral:rRNA from 1 species
UACGUAGGGUGCGAGCGUUAAUCGGAAUUACUGGGCGUAAAGCGUGCGCAGGCGGCGCGUUAAGACAGGUGUGAAAGCCCCGAGCUUAACUUGGGAAUUGCGCUUGUGACUGGCGUGCUGGAGUGUGGCGGAGGGAGGUGGAAUUCCACGUGUAGCAGUGAAAUGCGUAGAGAUGUGGAGGAACACCGAUGGCGAAGGCAGCCCCCUGGGCUGAGAUUGACGCUCAGGCACGAAAGCGUGGGGAGCAAACAGG